AAAUAUUUGUCUCUCUAAUUUGUAUCUCUAAUAUUCAUAGAAUAAAAUAUUUCUUGCAGUGGGGAGGUACGGCCGGCCAUAGUAUUAUCCAGCUCUGGCCAUUGGGAGAUACGCAAUGGGAGGUCUUUAGACAUUUCCUUUCCCGCUCCGACCAUUGUUUAAAGUGCCGAUGAAGAAAGAUUUUUAGAAGCUUCUAUGGCUUAUGUAUCUGAGAAUCCGAUUUUGACAGAUGAAGAGUUUGACAAGCUUAAGUUGAAACUUAAGUUCUGGAUGGAUGGCAAUGAAAUUAUGGUUAAGGGUCCACGAUGUAGUCUCCGUAGUAGAAAGGUUUACAGUGACCUUUAUGUUUAUUAUCUGAAGAUGUUUUGCUAAAUGUCCCGGCAGUUGUUGUUACGCUUGGAUUGUUCUUUUUCCUCAAUGAUUUGAUUGGAUUUGAGAUCACGUAUGUUUUGGAGUGAUAUAGAGCGCACCUUAGUUGAGAAGUUGGCUUCACUUCGGGUAACAUCCAAACCUCAUUCAGUCUCAUCUAAUGGUAUAUCUUGGAAGUCAAAGAACUUGAGUUUUAUAAGAAGAAACUACAGAAGAAAAAGGGCAAGGUUGCAGCUGCUUAAUUGGAGCUCAUUAAUUUUUUAGACUAAUUUAAAUGUUUUUCCUUUUUGCCCGUUAAUCGACUUGGUUUGUGGGGAUUUUUUUUUAAAUCUUUCCAUGAGUCAAUCUUGAUACCUCGGCUUUGUUUUGAUGUUGGCCUUCAUUACUUUCAGUUUAUUCAUAAUUUUUUUGAUAUGUUAAAUUUUAAUGUUCAAUGUGU